rnacentral:snRNA from 1 species
GUGUCACUUAGUACAUAUACUUAAAUUGGAAUGAUACAGAGAAGAUUAGCCUGGCCCCUGUGCAUGGGUGACACAUAAAUUCAUGAAGCAUUCCAUAUCUUG